rnacentral:sRNA from 1 species
GUCGUGAGAUGUUGGGUUAAGUCCCGCAACGAGCGCAACCCUUGUCCUAUGUUGCCAGCGGGUAAUGCCGGGGACUCGUAGGAGACUGCCGGGGUCAACUCGGAGGAAGGUGGGGACGACGUCAAGUCAUCAUGCCCCUUAUGUCCAGGGCUGCAAACAUGCUACAAUGGCCGGUACAAAGGGCCGCUAACCCGCGAGGGUGCGCUAAUCCCAUAAAGCCGGUCUCAGUUCGGAUUGGAGUCUGCAACUCGACUCCAUGAAGCCGGAGUUGCUAGUAAUCCCGGAUCAGCAUUGCCGGGGUGAAUACGUUCCCGGGCCUUGUACACACCGCCCGUCACACCACGAAAGUCGGCAACACCCGAAGCCGGUGGCCUAACCGUAAGGAAGGAGCCGUCGAAGGUGGGGUCGGUGAUUGGGGUGAAGUCGUAACAAGGUAGCCGUACCGGAAGGUGCGGCUGGAUCACCUCCUUUCUAAGGAGUUGAAGUUCGACACUCAACCGUCGAACCAACACCCAGUUGAUGCACUGGCGAAUCCGUCCGAUGAGUGAAACAGGUUGCAGAUUCAGUUCUCCCUGGUUCGCAAGUCGAAUGGUUCCUCGAGUCCUCUCUUCCGUUUUGAGGGAGCGGUAGCGCCGGCGCCGAAAUGCGCCGCGAUCCGCGAGAGUUCCUCGUUGGCCCUUUGAGAACUGCAGAGCGAGCACGAGCAUCUUUGUAAGUAGUUCUUCCAAGCUACAAAGAGCCAACGGUGGAUGCCUUGGCGUCUACUACCGAUGAAGGACGUGGCCGACUGCGAAAAGCCACGGGGAGCUGUCUAGCGAGCUUCGAUCCGUGGAUGU